CCUACGGGCGGCAGCAGUGAGGAAUAUUGGUCAAUGGCCGGAAGGCUGAACCAGCCAUGCCGCGUGAAGGUCAGUGCCCUAUGGGCGUUAAACUUCUUUUGUGCGGGAGCAAUAAUGGUCACGUGUGGCCAGACGAGAGUACCGUACGAAUAAGCCUCGGCUAACUCCGUGCCAGCAGCCGCGGUAAUACGGGGGAUGCAAGCGUUAUCCGGGUGUAUUGGGUUUAAAGGGUGCGUAGGCUGUGAGGUAAGUCAGCGUUGAAAUGCCCCCGCUCAACGGGGUGAAGUGCCAUUGAUACUGCCUUGCUGGAAUGCGGAUGCCGUGGGAGGAAUGUGUGGUGUAGCGGUGAAAUGCAUAGAUAUCACACAGAACACCGAGUGCGAAGGCAGCUCACGAAUCCGCGAUUGACGCUGAUGCACGAAAGCGUGGGUAUCAAACAGGAUUAGAUACCCCGGUAGUC
rnacentral:rRNA from 1 species